CAAGGCAGAACGACCCGCGAACUUGUUUAAAAACUGGGGAGCGGUGCGGCCGGGAUGCUUCGACCUCCGUCCGUGCGGCUUCCUCCUGUAUCCCCGACGCGCGCGCUUACGUGCGUGCCGGGUGAUUAACGAACCCCGGCGCGGAAAGAGCCAAGGAAUACUAAUUUGAAAGCCUGCCCCUCGCGCCCCGUUCGCGGCGUGCGCGG
rnacentral:lncRNA from 1 species